rnacentral:rRNA from 1 species
CAUGCCGUAAACGAUGAGUGCUAAGUGUUAGGGGGUUUCCGCCCCUUAGUGCUGCAGCUAACGCAUUAAGCACUCCGCCUGGGGAGUACGACCGCAAGGUUGAAACUCAAAGGAAUUGACGGGGGCCCGCACAAGCAGCGGAGCAUGUGGUUUAAUUCGAAGCAACGCGAAGAACCUUACCUGGACUUGACAUCCCCUGAAUAGCCUAGAGAUAGGCGAAGCCCUUCGGGGCAGGGAGACAGGUGG